UGCACUCUGCUGCCGGGAAUUCUCCCGGAUGAGUGUACUGUACAUCCAACCCCCACCAACUGCUUUUCUGUGCAUCUCUCCUUCUCCUCUCUCUCUCUCUCUCUUCUCCGUAUGCUUAGCUUAUCUCUUGUUUUCCUCGAUAAGGCUCCUGCAAUGCAUUAAAAUCAGGGGACUGAAUGCAAGAGUGAAAACGUUUCGGGGGCGGAGCCGCACUGGUGAUUUCAUUGGAUAGUUUGAACUUGCUUUCUAAGAGGAAAUGCACUAAAAAAGGAAUAAGGAAAAGGUCAGAUGAUACAGGAUGACGAGGAGGGACUACCAGUCACCUGCUUCUGUUUUCAAAGAUGCAGCUCAACCUGUAAAGCGUGGAGGCGCACUGACUCCAGAUCAAGCUUGGUAACAGCAUCAUCAUCCUUCUCCCUCUGUCGCCAGCGCCGAUGGAUCAAGCAACCAGCGUUUGUUUUGCUUGAUCUUUUUGAUACAGAUUCCCCACUUGGACAAGACUUAGUUUAAAUGUGUGGGACACAGUUUGAACACAAAGAAUUUAAACAUGGCCGCCCGCCAAGAUCACCAGUUUAUCAGUUUCAGCGAUGACUGUAUGCCAGCACAAGGUUUUAGUGACAUUUACUCCUUGCAGAAUUGCAAUACUUUUCUUGGGAAUAGUGAUUGUCUUAUCAGUGACAACAACAAUACGACAGCUAUGAAAAGCUCCACUGCCCAAUGGCCCUUCUGUCCGAACACUAACUCUGAGAAUGACCAGAGGGAAAAUGUUGACGGAGACAAUUUAAAUGCUGCCAACCACAGAAGACUUCCAGCAUCCUCUCAAAACUACAAUCAUCCAGGAGAAUCAUGCGGACGGGACAGGAAAGUGAAAAUAAGGAAGAGUGUGUCUUUUGAUGAUGAUGUCAUUGUCUACCUGUUUGAUCAGGAGAGUCCAACUCUGGAGAUGCACUUCGAGCCUUACACGUCUCUGAUGAGCAGCUAUUCCUGCAACCUGCCAGGUGUCACAUUAGAAGAUAAUGCCUUCGAAUGGGAGGAUGACUUCUCGGCUUUGGAGAAGAGCUGCCAUUUUCAGUAUGACAGGCACUCUCAUCCCUACAGCCUACUGCAGACACAUAACCGGACCCCCCAGUCCAGACCAGAGAAUGGCUGUCUACCCCAAACCUGCCUUUUCCUCACCUAUGUCACUGAGUCAGACCUGGAGUGAGAUAAGGAGAGCCAGCCUUGGCCUAAUGGAAAAACUGACUAAUCGUCCAGAUCUCUCCUCUUCACCCUAACUCAUCUCCUACCCGCCCUCCCCCUUUUAUGAUGACUCAGGGAUUUUAAUAGCUUUUUUUUUUCACUACGUCUUUGCUCCAAAUAGAUUCAGCGCACUUGCCAUUCAUGACAUCACGGCCGAGCAGGACUCUCUGACAGCGCAUUCAGUUUUCACAGUAGUUGGUAUGACAAGAUUACUGCCCAUGAUGUCAAAUAACGGCAAGAAAGAGUUGCAUAAGAGUGCUGGUGCCUUUCCAGCUGCAAACUGCUUUGGAAGCUACUCUUUAUGCCAGGUUGCGUCCUUGGACCUGAUGUAGGAAACAGAAACACGGCUGCUCAAACUUACGUGAGUUUAACAAACUCCUGUCUGCUUCUGCAGUCGCACUUUAUCUUUAAAUUCUUGUAAUUUUCAGGCGAAUCUUGGUGUUGAAGAAAAUACGUUGUUUAUACGGUUCGUUUUGCUCAAACAGAGCAUGCUUGUGGGGGCCCUGUUUGCUUGCCUCAUUACUGAAGUGUAUUGAGCUCAGAAUAUAUCAACAGCUGUGGUAAAAUAAACAGUGUAAGCCUUAGGGCCAAUGGAAGCAGAAACUGUGCACACUAAAGCGCAAAGAUAAUAUUUCCACAGAGGCAACUUCAGCAAGGUUUGGUUGAUUAGAUACAAUGUACCUGAGGAGGGAAGGAAACCUGGCAAGACCUGUCUUACUGUUCACACACACACACACACACACACACACACACACACACACACACACACACACACACACACACCUCUUUAGAAGUCAUCAAAAUAAAUCACAUUAAUUUAUUAGAGACUUAUAGUAACCUUAAGCCAAGCGUCCUCCUAAAUAUCCUCUAAUGAUUGACAUUAUGUGGACUUUGGGGGCUUUUGUCCUUAUAUGGGAGGCGAGUCCCCACUGUGUGACUGUGUAAAUAGGUUUAUGUUCCCACAACACGAGUAAUAGAAGUACACAAACACACACAAGCUGCCCAAGGGCAUCAAACGCUGGAAGUGUUUGCUUCUAAAAGCUGGGAGCUUCACACCUGUAACGUUGCUGUGUCUGUGACAUCCCAACACUGUGCUAAUGUUGCUAAUGCUCAGAUUAAGAGGUUUGGAGAAAAAGUUAGAGAGGUGAGGCUGAGAUGGUUUGGGCAUGUGCAGAGGAAAGAUUGGACCAAAGAUGUUGAAGAUGAAGCUCUCAAGCAGGAGGAAAGGAGGAAGACCUCAGAGAAGAUUCAUGGAUGGAGCAAAGGAAGACAAGCAGUGGGUUGAAGUGACUGAGGUGGAUGAUAGAAAUAGAGUGAGAUAGAGGCUGAUAAUCCACUGUCGUGACCCCUAAAGGGAGUAACUAAAAUAAUAAGAAACCCAUUAGCCAUAAACUUGUUGAAAUAGAAAAAAUGUAUUGACCAACUGCCAUGAAGCUGAACUUUCUAAUCUUAAAAGUCAAAAACAUGAAGUUUUGUAUGUUUUCUAGAGUUUUGUUUCGUCACAAACAGCAACACCAAUGUUUAGGCCUUGUGAGUGUGUAGGUCGUAUAGUCAGAACCACAACAGAGGCAAUUUUGAGAGCCCCAGCAGAGGUUUUCAUGUUUUUUCUGAUUGUGGACAGAUUUUGUCAGUGCCAUAAGCAGAAUAAGCACACAAAGCUGUAUGUGUGCCGCCGACACAUAACCUGUUCAUAGCGUCCAGAUCUGAAAAGUGAGGCCAAUGUGGAUGAGUCUUAAACCUGGUUUUUGUUUUUUUCUAAUCUUCUUGCCAGUCAGGGGCAACUCCUGUGGUUUCUAAAAGAUAGAUACUGUAGAAUACUGUACUGAUACUGUAGAAUUCUAUGAGAAAACAGCCCAUGGGCACUCCUGACCUUUGACCUCAGUAAACACCUUUCUAAUCAGAUUAUGUUCUCCAUCACUAGUUUCAAACCUCCCCAAAUCAAACGUGAUGUUAAUUCUGGAAAUUAUGGGUGCCUUUAGAGUCAAAAGGGAGGAUACAGCAGGGUCAGUCUUAUGUCUGACAAAUUGCUAUCCCAAGAGCGUGCAUUGUGUCUCAGAUUCACAGUCAGAGUCACCUCUCAUUCGCCACAUUGAAUUUCAAAACACCAAAACUCAAAUGUCAAAAGCAGGUAGCUUGAAACGACAAGCCCAUUGCCCCCCUACUUUAAGCCCUUCCCCAACAAUUUUUUUUUAAAUUUUUAUGUAUUCGUACCUACCCAAAUGAGGAAUCAUCACGUCCAUAUAUAAACAUCCAAUAUCUAUGCACUGCAAUAGCAUAACUGCAAUCAUUUAACCUUGUGAGUCUCUCUGCCUGUGUAUAUGUGUCACUGAAGCAAAGUGUGGAAUUGAAGACCAUCAGUGUUUGUCCCUAAUCUUCCAGAUGUUUGCAGACACAGCAAAUGCAGUCACUGAUGAACAGACAGUACACCUCACCGCAGUGACUCCUCCCUGUCUUUGUAGUCUUGCUACCACAACAUAAAGUAAUCCUAACUGCCAACAGCUGCAUUAGGCUGCCAAGUUAAACAGUUGGAUUACUGCAGAUCACAUUUCCAUGUGAAGAAGGAGCGUGUUAAUAAUUGCAGUUGUUCUGCUGUUCUUUUAUGGCAUGUUUUUUUGUAAUGUGUGUGUGUUUUUUUGUGUUUUUAUAGUUUUCUAGUGGCCUGAGGCUGUCCAUGUAAUGCAAAAAGCUCAAAAAGUUUGUCUGUUGAAAAGCAAAUAUUGGAGCAAAGUUUAAAUGAGGCCUACAUUCAGCUGUAGCCUGGAGGACUGUAUUCAAAUGAAGCAGCAGAAGGUGAUAAGUCACAAUGGAAAAUAUGUUAACUGUUCAGACGAACUAACUUUACUACAGUUGUCUUAAAGGUAAGAGCACCUCAGCAGCUUAGCAGCAAAAGAAGAAGGUUCACUUACAUUCAUCUGAAUGAAUAAAAAGCAUUUCACAGUUGGAAAUGCUGCUGCUGAGCGUGUUAACGGCAUAUCAGUAUGGAAAAAAGAGCAGUUUUUGUAAGGGUACCAUACCAUUCAAUUCCACCACUGCAAUCUCAUUAUUUUGCCUUAAUUGUUUAAAAAAAAAAAAUGAAAUACAGUAAAGUAAAACUGCUCAGUUACAUUAGUUAGCCAGUAAAUCCUUAACAUUUUACUUGUCAACUGCAAAACGGCUACACUUUGUAGAAAUGGGAAGCAGGAAACGCAAAAAAUAUCACAUCAAAAUAUACCUAAUUCAGCAGGUAAACUGGCCAAACUAACAAUGAAAGGGUUUCAAUUAAAUAUUUUAUUUUAUUUUAUUAAAUAUUUCUUUCAUCACUGAACUAUGGCACACAAAUUUUUCCUGUUCUCAGAAUCUAUGCAAAUAUCAGCUAUCAGCUGGAACUUGUGAAUGGUAAGUAUGCAUAUUCAACUAAUUGUUUAGUUAAUAUUUUAUAAAAGUACGCCACGUAUUUCACUUUCUGAACUGAAUAGUCAUGUUCUGACUGCUACUUGUGCUUUUUCUCAAAUGAACAGUUGCACAGAUAUUAAAGCGCACAAGCCUGCAGGACACUUAGAUCUGUCUCCCCAGCCAUGUUUAUAUAAGAUGAUCCCUGGAUUUGAAUGCUGCUUCCACCAACUACUAAGUAUCGUUUGAAAACAUUAGUGGGAGCCAAAGUUAAUCUGAAUCCCCCCAAAAUAAAAAUAAAAAACAUCCUACUAUAAAUGUAAGUUCAGUGUAAAUCUUGCACAUCUGUGACUUUGUGCAGCAACAGCAGCAGGUUGUUGGGAGGUUUGGGGUUGAGGGCGGAGCUAGCGGGGGAAAGGGCUGUCUCUCUGAUUGGCUGCACAGCGCGACGUGUACAUCUGUUAGCAACAGGUAGCCGUUCACAUGUGACAGUUAUCUGUGAGCCUCGCGCUGAUGUGCUGCUCUCGCGCUCCCUCCUUCCCAGUGCUCCUUUAAUUGACUUUAUGUCGCUGAUCAUGGCCGGCUGCAUGCUGACGCUUUUUCUGUAAAAAGAAACAGGAGGGAGAAUAUUAGUGUAACUUCCCAGGUUUGUUGAAGCUGAAAUCUGUUCUGUCAGAGAUAAGAGGA